rnacentral:SRP_RNA from 2 species
UCCGCGAGUCGGCACGACCAGCUCCCGUCGAAUUCCCCCAGGGCAGGAAUGCAGCAAGGGUAGACGGUCGUAGCGGUGCGAUGUCGGCUCGCCUUUUU